UGGACAAAAAAUGAUGGUACCCCUAGAAAAGAUUGGAAAUAAUGUGACCACAGGGACAUAUUAAACUAAGGUGUGUCCUGUAAUUAGCAUCACAGGUGUCUUCAAACUUGUAAUCAGCCAAUGGGCCUAUAUAUUUUGCU